CUUAGGACACUGUGAAGUCUAUCUGGAUCUAAGUGUAGCCUUCACUCUGAUAUCAGAUUCCUAAGUAUCAAACUCAAAUCUGGGUGGACUGCAAAUUUCACCUGGCAACCUGAAGUCCCUUUAAGGCUAAAAGGUUUAGCAAGUGGAUGCUGUCUUCCUCUGAAGAGACUGGAGAAGGUGAGCAAAGAAGCAAACCAUCCACAUAUUGCAGCAAAGCAGAACCUCUAGGGAACUUGAUAUCAUCCAGAUCAGCCUUCAGGAUUUGUGACAAACUCUCAAUAAAACCCUGAGGCAUUACUGUCCAGAGAGGCAAUGUGAGGCUCCUGAUAACAUUUGGAUGUCUUAAAACACUAAUUGAAAUAGGUGUUCCAUUCAGUUUUGGAAAUUUUAGAGCUACAGUUGUUCAAUUUGAUUUUAAGAGAGAUGGAGUUUGUCUUGGAUCUGCCCAAGAUUUUCACGGGGAAAAUCCAGCAGGCGAAGCUUCGAGUCAAGGAGUGGAAGAGGUCUGGGCAGAUCGGGGCCCAGUGAUACUUGCAAGGAGUUUUACUUUGGGUCCUGCCCUUCUUCCCCUUUUAUUUCCCUUUGCAUCAUUUGCCUUCCUCUGGGGGAUAUGAGAUUAUGAUAAGAUGUGAUCUGAUUUCUAUCUUUCCUUGAUUAUUAGUUCAAAAUCAUGCCAUGUUAGGAGCUGAAAAAAGAAAAGGAGGGGAGGAAUGAGAGAGAGAGAGGAAAGGAGAGGAGAACAGAGAAAAAGGAAAAAAUGAGAGAAAAAUUAAAACAGCAAUAGAAAGAAACUGAGAAAUAAAAAAAGGAAAGAGGAAUGGUGAGAUGGAAGCAGGGAGGAAAGGUGGAAAUAAUUAGAGGGAAGAAGAGAAAUAGAAGGAGGAGAAAGGAAGAAAUGAAGGAAGGAAGAAAGGUAGGAAGGGGAAAAAAGAAAAGAAAGAACUCAAUAAAAUAGUAAGAGAAACUGAUAAAGGAAAAUCAUGGAAGACAGGAAGAAUAGGAGAAAGGGAGGAGGGAAGGAAACUUAUAAUUACUCCCACAAGUAGACAGAUAGUGACAAAAUCAUGCAGAAAACUGGAUAUUAGGAAGGAAACAAAAUGCUAUGACACCCCAUCACACUCCUAGGACAAAACCUCCACACAGAGAGGUUUGUGGGUGUGGUUGGGAAAUUAGAAUCAUCCACAAGUCACUUCAAAUUUGGGGGCAAUCAUGACCAGAGGAGGGGAAUCACCAUUUACUGAGCAUUUGCCAAAUGCAAGACACUGUCCAUGCAAGGCAUUUCAUAAAUAUUAUCAUGUCUUAUCUCUAUGUGGCAUCUACAGACUUCAGAUAAUAGCUGUGAGAACAGUGUAGGCACCUCAAAAAGGUGUCCCUUCCUCCAUGGCUUAUGUCUUUUUUUUUUUUGGUAUCUACUCUUCCUAGAAUCAAUAAUAAAAUCAUUUUAAAAUCAA